rnacentral:misc_RNA from 1 species
UCCGGUUUGACACCGGCAGUCUCCCUAGAGUGCCCGGCUUUACCCGCUGGUAACUAGGGACGAGGGUUGCGCUCGUUGCGGGACUUAACCCAACAUCUCACGACACGAGCUGACGACAACCAUGCACCACCUGUACACCAGCCCGAAGGCCACCACAUCUCUGCAGUGUUCCGGUGCAUGUCAAGCCUUGGUAAGGUUCUUCGCGUUGCAUCGAAUUAAUCCGCAUGCUCCGCCGCUUGUGCGGGCCCCCGUCAAUUCCUCUGAGUUUUAGCCUUGCGGCCGUACUCCCCAGGCGGGGCGCUUAAUGCGUUAGCUGCGGCACGGAACUCAUGGAAUGAGCCCCACACCUAGCGCCCAACGUUUACGGCAUGGACUAC